CAUAGCUAAGCUGGUAGAGCAACUGACUUGUAAUCUGUGGCGCCGAGUUCGACUCUUGGUG
rnacentral:tRNA from 1 species